UACGUAGGGUGCGAGCGUUGUCCGGAAUUAUUGGGCGUAAAGGGCUCGUAGGCGGUCUGUCACGUCGGGAGUGAAAACACGGGGCUUAACCCCGUGCCUGCUUCCGAUACGGGCAGACUAGAGGUAUGCAGGGGAGAACGGAAUUCCUGGUGUAGCGGUGAGAUGCGCAGAUAUCAGGAGGAACACCGGUGGCGAAGGCGGUUCGCUGGGCAUUACCUGACGCUGAGGAGCGAAAGUGUGGGGAGCGAACAGG
rnacentral:rRNA from 1 species